rnacentral:rRNA from 1 species
UACGAAGGGGGCUAGCGUUGCUCGGAAUCACUGGGCGUAAAGGGUGCGUAGGCGGGUCUUUAAGUCAGGGGUGAAAUCCUGGAGCUCAACUCCAGAACUGCCUUUGAUACUGAAGAUCUUGAGUUCGGGAGAGGUGAGUGGAACUGCGAGUGUAGAGGUGAAAUUCGUAGAUAUUGGCUGGAACACCGGUGGCGAAAGCGGCUCACUGGCCCGGUACUGACGCUGAGGUGCGAAAGCGUGGGGAGCAAACAGG